rnacentral:rRNA from 1 species
UAUCACACAAGCCUCAAAAUGGUGAAGCCGCGAAUAGCUCAUUACAACAGUCGUAGUUUAUUAGAAAGUAUCAAAUGGAUAACUGUGGUAAUUCUAGAGCUAAUACAUGUUCCAAUCCCCGACUUACGAAGGGGUGCGUUUAUUAGAACAAAGCUGAUCAGACUUUGUCUGUCUCAGGUUGACUCUGAAUAACUUUGCUAAUCGCACAGUCUUUGCACUGGCGAUGUAUCUUUCAAAUGUCUGCCUUAUCAACUGUUGAUGGUAGAUUACGCGCCUACCAUGGUUGUAACGGGUAACGGAGAAUCAGGGUUUGAUUCCGGAGAGGGAGCCUGAGAAACAGCUACCACAUCCAAGGAAGGCAGCAGGCACGCAAAUUACCCACUCCCAGUUCGGGGAGGUAGUGACAAUAAAUAACGAGAUGAUGCUCUAUGAGUAUCGUCAUCGGAAUGAGUACAAUUCAAAUACUUUAACGAGUAUCUAUUGGAGGGCAAGUCUGGUGCCAGCAGCCGCGGUAAUUCCAGCUCCAAUAGCGUAUAUUUAUUCUGUUGCGGUUAAAAAGCUCGUAGUUGGAUCUGAGAUUGUGGACAGCGGUCCUCUAAUGAGUUGUACUGCUUGUCCCGGUCUAAUCUGUUGGUUGGUGUGCAGUGCUCUUUAUUGAGUGUUGUACGCUGCCAACUAUUUUACUUUGAAGAAAUUAGAGUGCUCAAAGCAGGCGAUUGCUCGUAUAUUGGUGCAUGGAAUAAUGGAAUAGGGCCUUGGCUCUAUUUUGUUGGUUUUAGGAGCACAAGGCAAUGAUUAAGAGAAACAGACGGGGGCAUUUGUAUUGCGGCGUUAGAGGUGAAAUUCUUGGAUCGUCGCAAGACAAACAACUGCGAAAGCAUUUGCCAAGAAUGUUUUCAUUAAUCAAGAACGAAAGUUAGAGGUUCGAAGGCGAUCAGAUACCGC